UAAAUGCUCCACAGAAAACAGUCCCC
rnacentral:piRNA from 1 species